ACGCUCGACACCUACAGGAGGCAGCAGUAGGGAAUCUUCCGCAAUGGACGAAAGUCUGACGGAGCAACGCCGCGUGAACGAUGAAGGUUUUCGGAUCGUAAAGUUCUGUUGUUAGGGAAGAACAAACUUCGUUUGAAUAAGGCGGAGUCAUGACGGUACCUAACGAGAAAGCCACGGCUAACUACGUGCCUGCAGCCGCGGUAAUCUGAGCGGGCUGGCAAGGC
rnacentral:rRNA from 1 species